rnacentral:rRNA from 1 species
GUCCAUGCUGUAAACGAUGAGAACUUGCUGUUGGGUACGUAAAAGUACUUAGUAGCGAAGCAAACGCGAUAAGUUCUCCGCCUGGGGAGUACGGCCGCAAGGUUAAAACUCAAAGGAAUUGACGGGGCCCGCACAAGCGGUGGAGCAUGUGGUUUAAUUCGAUGCUACGCGAAUAACCUUACCUACCUUUGAAUCCCUGGAAUUUAGUAGAGAUAUUAAAGUGCCUUCGGGAACCAGGAGACAGGUGCUGCAUGGCUGUCGU